UGACCGAGCCCAGCUCUGGCUGGCUGGCUACACCUACCUGUGACCAAGAGCUGGUAAGGACCCCCCCACACCCGGGGAACACCCACCAGCUGCCCAUGGAGCCCUGCAGGGCAAGUGCAACAGCACAGUCCUCAUCCCCAACUCCCACCGCUUCUGGCCUCUUGGCUGUGCAGCUACCUGGUUCCACACUACAGAGGCACAGGGGGACAUAAAGGCCAUUGUCCUGAGCUGCAGAAGUGAACAAGAGUGAGAGAGGGCCUCUCUCAGGCUCCCUGAUGAUAACUGAAGCCCCCUGGAAAAGUGAAGAGAAUCUCUGCAAUAAAGGCACACCAGACCACCAUACUUGAGCAUUGGAAGAAAAAUAUAAAACCCUAUGAGACCUACAAAGAAGAAAACCUGAACCUCAGAGAAAAUGAAAGAGCAUGACUGACACUUCUUAUCUCCUCCCCAAACCUUACCAUCUGUGGCUGGAUUAUCACAUUGUGCAGUCUGCAACCACACUGCAUUUCUUCAUUCGAACAGUAUGGAUUUCUGGGACACUUCACAGAAACAAAGAAGUAAAUAAAUACACAAACAAACAGACAAAUAGUCGUGAUAUUUUAGGUCAGGAAGGAAGGAAGGAAGGAAGAAAGAAAAACAGAAAAAAAGAAAAAGAAAGAAAGAAAGAAGAGAGAAAGAAAAAGAGAGGAAGGAAGAAAGAAAAACAGAAAAAAGAAAGAAAGAAAGAAGAGAGAAAGAAAAAGAGAGGAAGGAAGGAAAGAAGGCAAGCAAGGAGAAAGGGAGAGAGAGAAAGAAAGAGAGAGAAAAGAAAAGAACAGAACAUAUGUGGCACUUUCCCACUUCUCACAAAGGAAAGUGUACAUGAUACAGCGGACAAAAUUGCAGUGAUAUUUCAUGUUAAUCUAAGAGUUAGUGCUCUCUCUCCCUGUGGCAGAGAGUAGUAUUAUAAUUGAGAAUAAAGAUAAAAAU
rnacentral:lncRNA from 1 species